rnacentral:rRNA from 1 species
CCUACGGGAGGCAGCAGUAGGGAAUGUUCGGCAAUGGGGGGAACCCUGACCGAGCAACGCCGCGUGAACGAAGAAGUUAUUCGUAAUGUAAAGUUCUUUUAACAGGGAAGAAAGAGAAAUUUGACGGUACCUGAAGAAUAAGCUCCGGCUAACUACGUGCCAGCAGCCGCGGUAAUACGUAGGGAGCGAGCGUUAUCCGGAAUUAUUGGGCGAAAAGGGUGCGUAGAUGGCAGAGUACGUCUUUUGUAAAAAUGCUGGGCUCAACCCAGUAGGGCAAAAGAUACUGCAAAGCUAGAGUAUGACAGAGGCAAGUGGAACUACAUGUGUAGCGGUAAAAUGCGUAAAUAUAUGUAAGAACACCAGUGGCGAAGGCGGCUUGCUGGGUCGAUACUGACAUUGAGGCACGAAAGCGUGGGGAGCAAACAGGAUUAGAUACCCGGGUAGUC